CGGGGUAUAGCGCAGUCUGGUAGCGCGCCUGCUUUGGGAGCAGGAUGUCGGGNGUUCGAAUCNCUCUANCCCGACCA
rnacentral:tRNA from 2 species